AGUGGCGGACGGGUGAGUAACGCGUAAGAAUCUAACUUCAGGACGGGGACAACAGUUGGAAACGACUGCUAAUACCCGAUGUGCCGCAAGGUGAAACCUAAUUGGCCUGAAGAAGAGCUUGCGUCUGAUUAGCUAGUUGGUGGGGUAAAGGCCUACCAAGGCGACGAUCAGUAGCUGGUCUGAGAGGAUGAGCAGCCACACUGGGACUGAGACACGGCCCAGACUCCUACGGGAGGCAGCAGUGGGGAAUUUUCCGCAAUGGGCGAAAGCCUGACGGAGCAACGCCGCGUGAGGGAGGAAGGUCUUUGGAUUGUAAACCUCUUUUCUCAAGGAAGAAGUUCUGACGGUACUUGAGGAAUCAGCCUCGGCUAACUCCGUGCCAGCAGCCGCGGUAAUACGGGGGAGGCAAGCGUUAUCCGGAAUUAUUGGGCGUAAAGCGUCCGCAGGUGGUCAGCCAAGUCUGCCGUCAAAUCAGGUUGCUUAACGACCUAAAGGCGGUGGAAACUGGCAGACUAGAGAGCAGUAGGGGUAGCAGGAAUUCCCAGUGUAGCGGUGAAAUGCGUAGAGAUUGGGAAGAACAUCGGUGGCGAAAGCGUGCUACUGGGCUGUAUCUGACACUCAGGGACGAAAGCUAGGGGAGCGAAAGGGAUUAGAUACCCCUGUAGUCCUAGCCGUAAACGAUGGAUACUAGGCGUGGCUU
rnacentral:rRNA from 1 species